rnacentral:rRNA from 1 species
GACGAACGCUGGCGGCGUGCCUAAUACAUGCAAGUCGAACGCUGAAGGAGGAGCUUGCUCUUCUGGAUGAGUUGCGAACGGGUGAGUAACGCGUAGGUAACCUGCCUGGUAGCGGGGGAUAACUAUUGGAAACGAUAGCUAAUACCGCAUAAGAGUAGAUGUUGCAUGACAUUUGCUUAAAAGUUGCAAUUGCAUCACUACCAGAUGGACCUGCGUUGUAUUAGCUAGUUGGUGGGGUAACGGCUCACCAAGGCGACGCUACAUAGCCGACCUGAGAGGGUGAUCGGCCACACUGGGACUGAGACACGGCCCAGACUUCUACGGGAGGCAGCAGUAGGGAAUCUUCGGCGAUGGACGGAAGUCUGACCGAGCAACGCCGCGGGAGUGAAGAAGGUUAUCGGAUCGUAAAGCUCGGUUGUAAGAGAAGAACGAGUGUGAGAGUGGAAAGUUCACACUGUGACGGUAUCUUACCAGAAAGGGACGGCUAACUACGUG